ensembl:lncRNA
UGUGUUGAAGCUCCUUCUCCGGAGUUCAAACGACACCUCAUACAACUCACCUAUCUCCUUUUCUGCGGCACUAAGUACCCUUCAUACAACGGCGUCGCACAUUGCGCAACAGAAAGCGCGUGCGGCCGCCUCCUCCUCGCACACGUAUUCUGACCAGACCACAGUCAGACCGGCUAUUCAUUCCUCCAGCACUUGCUGAAGCCCCGGCAUUUCUCCCCCCGACCCUCCACCGCAGCACGGACAGCAGCGAUGUUUUCCUGCAGAGCGGCCUGGCUAAAGUGUGGCCCUUUGGCACGGAAAGCAGCCUACCGGCUGCCCCGGGACGUUGUACAGCGGCGACCGAUGUCAUCAAUUCCUGGUGGUUCUGGGGAGAAUAUCGUCUACGCUCUAAUGUGUGGAGGAGUCUUUGUUGGCUCGGUGGCAUACGCAUACAACACCCUGAGCACAGACGGAGCCAGGUUCAACGACCGCAUCUCUGAAAUCAAUGCCAGACCCAAGACAGAGUGGGUGCCUAAACCAUGGCCCCCCAAGAGCAGGGACGAGGAAGAGGGUAAGUGGUCUCACUCCGUUGGACUUCCUGUCAGUAACACUGAACACUUGCUGAAUGCUCACUCACACGCUGUCUGGGGCUCAAGGGGACUCGGUGAUGGGCGUCUCUUCUCAGGCCUCCUGUCACUAACCUAACUCUGUGAUGGCACUAAUCACUGUGCAUGUUAACUCUUAUGGUUCCACGGUUAGCCCGUCGACAGCCGGGAGGUAGUUAGGCAAUGAGCCAAUGAUUGUGAGGGCCAUUUGCGAGCUGCAGACUAAAGAGCUAACGUUGAUAUUCAUGGUUGACUUAUUUGUCUUCCAUUGGUGAAAAGGGUCACAUUUGACUCCCACUGAAUGGCUAAUAUUCGCCUCCGGUCGAUCACACACAAAAGUGCUGUUGGGUGACCGGGGCAAAUGGACAUUAAGGUGCACUCUUGGUUUUAGCACCCUUUCUGCAAGGACAUGAAGGAUGUACCGUUUGUAAAAUGACUGCCUGACAACCAUGAAGUUUUGCUUCAUUGAAGUAAUGUUGCAGCAGAUUUGAUUUACCAGGCCUGGGAGUGAAGGCACAGUACUUUGUUUGAGACUGACUGGUAAAGUUACUUGUUACAUAGUAUUAGAAUUGAAACCGUGUCAUAGGUUUCCACUGCGGCCGUCAGUUUGGUGAUUUAUGAACCAACGAGAGGGAGGCAGGUUAUGAGCACGACUCAGAAAUAAGGAUAUCAGUCAGUCCCGACUGACCCGAAGUGAAGUAAUGGAUUCUGCUGGUGAGUUCAGUCUGUAUGAUAUAAGAAGAGGAUAAAGGAGAGAAAGGUUCUCAGGAAAUAGAAACAUCAACUGAGCUUCUAUGAUUUGUUAAAGGAACAUAAAUCCAUGUACAUCAUUCACGUAGAGCAUCCUGAGCUUUGGCGCCUCCCAUAUUCAUCCAUAACAUCUUUAUAGAGCAUGGUUGUACUCUGGCCGGUCCCAGUUGGACCGUUCUGUCCUCCCAGGUGACCCAACUCCUGAAUUUCCCCCCACUGGCCUGAAGGCUCAGCCCCAAUCCCAAUCUCCACGACCAUGUUUAGUUCAGUCCCAAUGUCGACUCAUCCAGUGGUUCAGGGCUCUCUGCUAAAAACAUUUCGGGCCCUUAAUGAACACAUUUUCUAUGGAAAUUUCCCAUCAUUCACAGCCAUGUGAUGUUGAAAGUGAAGCUGGCAACUUCCGGCUGAUCAUUUACACAGAAAAAUGAACCAUGAAACACAUAUUAUAUUUCAUAUUUAUUGAUUUUGAUUGAUUUAUUUAGUGACAUCACUGAUAGUCUGAGGAAUAACUUUCGUCUUUUGAGGAGAGAGCCUGGAGGGCGUUCAAAUCGGUUAUAGAUAGUACAUAACGUAUUAGAUAGAUAGAUCAUUUUGUUAUCGCAGCAGCAUGUACAGGGAAGAAUAGAAUAAAAAGAUACACAUUAUAUAUAAUAUAAUAAGAUAAAAAUAUUAAAUUACAUAAACUAAACUGAAUCAAAAUAAUUACCUUCAAAAAGAGACAAUAAUAAUUAUUUUUAAAAGGACGUAUUAAACGUAUUAUGACAUCGUCAUGGUAACACCAUAUGUCGCAGCUAGACGCUGUCCCAUUUGUAUCUCUGCUCUAAGAGCCUCUCCCUCUCAACCAUCUAGCGGGGGGCUGAGUAAGUCCUGGAGGCCUUAAGGUGACAUUGGGAUCGGGCUGGAGUCUCUAUCAGUCCCUUCCUUUGAUAGCACUCAAUCCCCGGUUGCUCCUUCAUCGUCUCCCAUUUACCUCUCUGUGUUAAUAAGAGGUUCAGAAGAAAGGAAAACAAUCCCAUUGUCCCUGAACAUCUGGUCCAAGUGAGACCACCUGGUGACUGUCACAGAACUGCCUGCGACUAAAGCUUCUUCUCAUCUAGCUCACCAGAGCAUAGCAGCCUAGCAGCUCAUCCUUUGUGAUUUUUGCUAAUUCCCACCCGCACAGCUUCUGUGGUUGACUAUCAGUUUAACAAUGACCUUGUGUAAAGUGAACAGGGGUUUUCUUCUCUCUAAUUCUCUGUGUCUUUGCUCUUUUCAGUGUAAAGGUAGAGCUAAGGUCCUCUGUGGCCGCAUGGAUAUCCCCCCUAGAACUGGAUUCUGAAAAGGGACCCCCUCCCCCCACAUCCUCUCCUUCCUCCCCCAAUAAGAAAGAACGAGUGCUUCACUCAACCUUAAACCGUGGGACAAGUCUGGGAAGGAUGUUGAUUCCCUUCAACUUUCUUCAUUUCCCCCCCGACCCCCCUCUGGCUGCUAAAUGUAAAGUGUAACCCCUUGAAGAGAAUAAAUGGACCUCACAGACGUGUCUGGAUUUUCAGUGGUUCAAUGGACUUCAUCGCUGUUCAACACCGGUCUGGUUUGAAGAACAAAAAAAGGAUUUCUUUUAAAUGGACAUUAACCGUUUUGAGUAAAGCUUUGCAUUAAUAUCCAACACGUUAGCAUGCGCUGUUGCGAGCAUUGGCCACCUUUUGGUGUGAACGUGUGCUGUAGGUGUAUCUGGUGAGGAGUUUAAUAGCAACUGUAUUUGAAGCCUCAAAGCGCCACUUCAAAAAUAAUUCAAAUAAAUGGCUAUUUAUUGAGUUGGUUAACCUGUUUGUCAGUAAGUAGUAAGUCUUGUUUGCCAGUCUGAAAAUAGCGUCACAUGAAGAAUAAAAUCAUUUAUAGCAGAUAGAAUCUCUUCCUUGGAUAUGGAUCCCAGACAUCGUUUUUUCCACAAGGAGGUAAACUCUUUAUAGAGAAGGUCAGGGUGUCCACUGCUGGAAAGUCCCAGGUGAAUGAAUACAAGCCACCGUUGUAUUACCUGGUGAUGAAACUCUAGACGGGAACCGUUUCAUUCGUAGCGGAAACCGGAUCCCAAACUGAAGCAGUUGUCUGUCAGCGCUAGUGAUGAAUCGGCACUGUUCCUAUGAACAAAAUAAAUAAUAUGUAUUAUUUAAAAAAAAUACAGAUUAUACAUAUUAUAACUCCCUCCCAGCUUCCACCAUGUAGCAAUAAGCAUGCUAUUGUAAUAUUCUAACAUUGAAGUGAUUCCCACUGAUGGCCACAGCAUCGACCCAGUUGGUAUGGUUCCUUUCCAUGUCGCACCUCGGCAGAGUGCACUCGGGUCUCGAUGAUUUUACCUGUGUGCUGAAACUGUCGUUGCUCGGGACUCCCACGGCUCGGGGGGGUUGGCUGAUGGUCAAUGUGGAUGACCUGCUGUCGGAGCUCCAGGUAGCACGUAGUUUGUUAAUCGGAUGGUAAGAACCAAGAUUCAACUUCCCCCCUUCUACCCUGCACCUUGACCCGCAACCCUCCCCUCCGUCCCCCCGUCAUGUUCCUCCCUGUCCUUGGUUUGCAUGUAGUUUAGUGUUGUGAAUCAGAUGUUUGUUUUUUCUUAAUAAUGAUUGACUGUUGGGGGGGCGGAGGGGGUUAAAGUGGCUUUUCUAGAAGAAGCACUUCUGGCUCAGCCUAUUACUAGUAGCUAUGUUUCCAUCCAACUGCCCAUGCGUGUCAUUUUACCUAGUCUGACGUGUUACACUUAAUAAAAGCGUCAGCUAAAUGACCUGUAAUGUAAUUUCAUUUACUUUCAAGACUUCACAAUAAAAGUCCCCUGUUAGUUACUACGGCUCAGAGUAGUUUAAAAUAUGGCUGCUUACAAAGCUUGUCUUAUUCUUCUUUCCCCCCCCCACACAGUAGUCUGCCUUUAUUUUAAGUGGAAAUAUCUUGAUUGUUGGACUCCGACUGUGGGCUGGUGGUCCUCCUCUCUCCUCUCGGGGGACGAUGAUUUCAUGACCAGUGUGGAUCGUUUUCACACCUCAGUGCGAUCUGCAGAUGAGAGCUCAGGCGCGUGUAACCCCCCCCUCCCUUAGUUAGGGAGAGUUGCACAUCUGUAUUUUAACCCAUCUGGCAGCACCUGACAUCCAACCACCCUUUAUCUUUGACAAAGAUAUUCAGCACACAUCUUUUUUUCAUCCACAUUGUAGAGCUGUCGCCCAGAAAAAGAUAAACGUUGGAAUAAAUGAGACGCUGAGGCCACGGAACUGUACAAACUAUCCCGAUGGAGCCCACAGAGCGUUCAUCAACCCGAUACUUAAACACCUAGUAGACCAUUCUUUCCCAUUUGGCACUCACAAGGUUCACCUUGACGCAAAUCUGUCACGUGACAUCACAAAUCGUAUGCCGGCUAUGCUGAUAAUGACGUAUUUAUAAGAGAUGAUAUUUUGGACAGACAUGAUAAACUAAAUUCCUCCUAUAGUGACAGCCCUACCACAUAUGAUUGUUCAUAAAACACCGGAUGGAAACCUAGCUACCGCGAACACAAUAAUAUCCCAGAAUUAUGUCGCUUUUUAAACUGUUCAUCAAAAUAUUUCAUAUUUGAAAAGAGGGAUGUUUUUUUUGGGCUGAUAUUAUUUUAUUUUUUAACAUGCCGCGUUUGUGGAACACACUGAUUAGCACCGCUGAGGGAGGCGGGCUGCUCCCUGCAGGAGAACGUGAUGGUGUCUCUGGCCAACGCGCGCCUUCUGCUUCCUGUGUUCCAGCUGGAGAGGAGGAAGUGGCAGCUGGAGAGGAGGAAGUGGCAGCUGAGGAGGCCGGCGAAGAGGAGGCUGCCGCUGAUGGCGAAGGAGAGAUCGUGGCCGAGGUUGCAGAGGUCGUUGCUGAGGCGGCGGAGGAGGUCGCCGAGGCGGCAGAGGAAGUUACAGAGGUCGCUCGUGAAGUGGAGGCGGUCGCGGAAGAGGUGGCUAAGGCGGCCGAAGCCGCCCCCCAAGCCGCCGCAGAACUAGCCGCCGAGGAGCCCGACAGCAACGUGCCGCUGGCUGCUGCUUCUGCUCUAGAAGUACCAAAGAUCGUUGAAGUGACGGAAGAGUUAGCCGCAGCCAUUCAGGACAUCGAUAAGUCCCUUGCACCAGUUGAGGAGGCUACCAAGCCAGCAGAAGAGUCCCCAGCACCAGUAGAGCCUGCACCAGUUGUCGAAGAGGCCACUUUAGAGCCUGCACCAGUUGAAGACGCCCCAGCACCAGUAGAGGUUGCACCAGUUGAAGAGGCCCCAGCACCAGUGGAGGUUGUUGAUGAGUCCCCAGUAGAGGCUGCACCAGUUGAAGAGGCCCCAGCACCAGUAGAGGUUGUUGAAGAGGCCCCAGCACCAGUAGAGGUUGUUGAAGAGGCCCCAGUAGAGGCUGCACCAUUUGAAGAGGCCCCAGCACCAGUAGAGGUUGUUGAAGAGGCCCCAGUAGAGCAGCUUGCACCAGUUGUUGAAGAGGCCCCAGCACCAGUAGAGGCUGCACCAGUUGUUGAGGAAGUCUUGGUACCAUCUGAACCUGAAGUUACCACAGCACUUGCUGAAGAACCAGUCACCACCGCAGUUGAUGAAGAGGCUCUGGCAACCAUCGCUGCAGAAGUAGCGACCCCUCUGGUGGUUGAAGAAGCGGCUACUGAAACCCUUGCCGAAGCUCCGAAGAGAGAGUACAUUGUUGUGGUCCUGGAAGGAACACCUAAAGCUGAUAAGUCACCCAAGGUGCUUGGAGUGGAGUCCAUGACUGGUAGAAUCAUCCCAACUCCAGACGACGACGUCUCUGCUUCUGAGUAAGCAGCUUCCUGGAUGAUGACUUUCUUUCCUGCAGAAGAGGAUGGACGUGCCUUUUUUCCAACUCUUUCCCUUCCUUUUUAACCAAAAGAAACCCAAACUGACUAACACAUAGUUCCUGUGUAAAUACGCACAUACUGCACAGUGUUCAAUGCCCACUUUGUUGAGCCAUUAAACCGGCAUGUGAGCCCAUUACUGUGCCCCGCCACACCAACCUGCAUAUCUUGAAUCUGUAGUAGAUGACCCCAGUCAGUAGGUGAACACAUCUCUGGUACAGUAUAUCUCUUAGUAGCCUAAAUAGCAGUUUGUGUCACUUCAAUUGAGCCAUUCAGUCACCGUCAGUGUUUACUCUCUCAAAACAAACUUGUAGUUUUAGACGUAUUAGGGUUGAAGGGGUGUUUACUUCAUCAGCAUUCUUUACAAUACCAGCGCUCAGGAUUUUUCUUCUGCUUCUUGGUUUGAACAGCUGGAAAACACCUGCUGCACUGUUGUUAUGAAGAAACACCUGGAGCACAGCAGCCCCUUUGUACAGAAUCUACCUCACCGAUCCUUGUGUUUUCACUCCUUAAUAAUGAAACUACCGACCUCUUCUCAUGCAGUCACACAAAGGUUACACUUCCCAAGCCAACAACACCAUUGCUAAGCCUCCGACUUCGAUAAGCACAUCAUUUCUUUAUUUCAAAAGCUGUCAUUGGAUAAUCCAAACUCCUCUUGUAAAGCUCAAUGCUACAGGCGUCUGUAGGAUGAGCACACCAAGCUUUUCUCUCCAGCGGGCCCUGAAACAUGGAGGGGAAACUGCUGCUGCUCUCAAAAUUGGUUACGUCACAUUUUGUGUUCUUCCCCUUGAUGGCUGCUUGAAGACACCAGUUGUGACCUCCGGGAUUUUGGGGAAUGUGGCCAUGAAACAAACCUACAAGUUUGAAAGCAGCAGAUAUUGAGUUUCCUUUAGCGGACGUUGUUACUCAAUUUUGUAGAUUGUACAUGAUUAUACAAUGAAUGUAUGAAAUAUAUUGGACAUUUUCCUGAUAUUACAUUGCAAUGACUUUACACUUAGCCUAAACCCUGUUUCUCCUUGUCAGUCAUUCAUCUCUACUCACUGAGUAGCCCUGUUAAUCUAGCUCGUGGGUUAGGGAAGACGAUGAGCAGAAUCAUGUUCUUCCACCCGUGGCUAUUAUUGUUCUAGCAGUCAGAACUGUGUUGUGUGGUCUAAAGUUUUCACAGCAGAUAUGAACCGUAAUGUUUUCAGAUAUGCGACAUCAAAUGCACGUGUAUGUGUCCGAGGUCAAGGGUCCCGUGUGAAAUGCUUUGACGGCUCCUGUUGCCGUCUUUUCUCUUGUGUCAGCAGUAUUUGAAAUGAAGUUACUGAGGGAAGAUUUGAAACUCGUGUGCAUUUCUGUAAUGCAAAUGGGAUCAGAAAAUGACACUUGUCAGUCUUUGUUGCUCGCAGGCAGGUUUUUGUAGUAGGACGAUGCCUUUGACUUAGCAAAGGAACUGAACUGAAACUGUGAAUCUUUCCCAUAAUACAGUUUUUCUUGUUUUUUGCUAAAUAAAGUGGGACUAAACAUGA